CAACAACGGAUCUCUUGGUUCUGGCAUCGAUGAAGAACGCAGCGAAAUGCGAUAAGUAAUGUGAAUUGCAGAAUUCAGUGAAUCAUCGAAUCUUUGAACGCACAUUGCGCCCUUUGGUAUUCCGAAGGGCAUGCCUGUUCGAGCGUCAUU
rnacentral:rRNA from 1 species